rnacentral:rRNA from 1 species
GGGAACCUCACCUGGCCCGGACACCGCGAGGAUUGACAGACUGAGAGCUCUUUCUCGAUUCGGUGGGUGGUGGUGCAUGGCCGUUCUUAGUUGGUGGAGCGAUCUGUCUGGUUAAUUCCGAUAACGAACGAGACCCCAACCUGCUAACUAGCCCUCGGGUCCUGCUUCUGUUGGGCCCGACGGAAUGAUUCGCUUCUUAGAGGGACUCGCGGCGCCUAGCCGCACGAAGGGGGGCGAUAA